CCACGGCACCAGCUGGAACACUGCGGCUGCUGCGAAGUCUGCCUGAGGGAAGCCGGCGAGAUAUGUGACGGUCACGAGCACAUGGACGGCAUUUGCAUAGGCUCACUGAAAUGCAAAAAGAACGUUUGUGUUUAGGACUACAGCACUGCUGAUCCUUGUGAACAGAUAAAAAACCUAAGAUAAAGGACUGGAAAUAUUCCAAUGUUGCAUCCUGCUAAUCAACAUAUUAAUGAAGAAUUGAAUACCUUAGUAUUCAUAUACAUACAAGAUGGAAAACCACAUACUGCACACUGAAAUACAAGAAUUACCUUUAUAGCAA